AACAAUAUCCUGGUGCUGAGC
rnacentral:miRNA from 14 species